rnacentral:rRNA from 1 species
UACGUAGGAUGCGAGCGUUAUCCGGAUUUAUUGGGUUUAAAGGGUGCGUAGGCGGGAUGCCAAGUCAGCGGUAAAAAUGCGGUGCUCAACGCCGUCGAGCCGUUGAAACUGGCGUUCUCGAGUGGGCGAGAAGUAUGCGGAAUGCGUGGUGUAGCGGUGAAAUACAUAGAUAUCACGCAGAACUCCGAUUGCGAAGGCAGCAUACCGGCGCCCUACUUACGCUGAGGCACGAAAGCGUGGGUAUCGAACAGG